CCGCGGCCCGCGGCGGCCCAGCCCAGUCCGUGGCUCUGAGCACUCCCGCGGCGGACCUGGCAAGACACUCCAGCCGAGGAAGACACCGAGCCAGCAGGAGUGGAAGCGAAGUCUCUUGUAAGGUGAACAACUAAUGGAAUCCAGUGCAAUGAACAAGUGUUCGGGGCUCCUCAUCUCCUUUUUUCUCAAACUUCAACUUGGCUCUUCAAAAUAAAAUAAUUAAGACAGCA